GGGAAUGUGGCUUAGUGGUAGAGUGCUUGCCUAGCAUGCAUGAAGCCCUGGGUUCAAUUCCUCAGUGCCA
rfam:Dipodomys ordii contig_43396, whole genome shotgun sequence.